AUGCCGACAUGCUUGAUCUCUCGGUUGCAAGCACGCACGGCCAGCGACGGUGCAUGCGCGAGUGGUUGGAUCUUGAUCAUGUUCAUCAUGAUGCGUUUGAUGGUUUCUCGGCUGAUCCUGCAGGAAUACGUGAGGAAUCCGAGGGGGGUGCAGCUCUUCACAUGCGGCUGGCUGCCCGCUUCUUCCUCGCCCAAGGCGCUCGUCUUCCUUUGCCAUGCGUGCGGGUUCAAGUUGGCCGCGGCGGGGUACGGCGUGUUCGGCAUCGACUACGAAGGCCACGGCAAGUCCAUGGGCGCCAGAUGCUACAUCCAGAAGUUUGACCGCCUCGUCGCCGACUGCGACCGCUUCUUCAAGUCCAUCUGCGACAUGGAGGAGUACCGGAGCAAGAGCCGGUUCCUGUACGGCGAGUCCAUGGGCGGCGCCGUCGCCCUGCUGCUGCACAGGAGGGACCCGGCCUUCUGGGACGGCGCCGUCCUCGUGGCGCCCAUGUGCAAGAUAUCGGAGAAGGUGAAGCCGCAUCCGGUGGUGGUGACCCUGCUGACGCAGGUGGAGGAGCUCAUCCCGACCUGGAAGAUCGUGCCCACCAAGGACGUGAUCGACUCCGCCUUCAAGGACCCCCUCAAGCGCGAGCACAUCAGGAGGAACAAGCUCAUCUACCAGGACAAGCCGCGGCUCAAGACGGCGCUGGAGCUGCUCAGGACCAGCAUGGACGUCGAGGACAGCCUCGCCGAGGUGAGCAUGCCCUUCUUCAUCCUGCACGGCGAGGCCGACACCGUCACCGACCCGGAGGUCAGCCGCGCGCUCUACGACCGGGCCGCCAGCGCCGACAAGACCAUCAAGCUCUACCCCGGGAUGUGGCACGGCCUCACCGCCGGCGAGCCCGACGACAAUGUGGAGCUGGUCUUUGCCGACAUCGUCGCCUGGCUCAACAAGCGCAGCCAUCAUCGCAAACCUGAACACGGCGGCCGGGUAGGAAGUGCCCCGUCGGAGCCUGCAAGGUACCAACGGCGGCCGGUUUCCGGCGGCAGCGGCAUGGACAGCCCGGUGUCGAUACCUCGGCGGCGAGGUGGCUUCCUCUGCGGGCAAUGUAGAAUGUAA
rnacentral:rRNA from 1 species